ensembl:lncRNA
GGGUGCGGUCAGGUAGAUACCAUGGCUGAAGCUAGGGGAGUACACAUCUGAUGUGAAUCGAAGUAGAGGAGAUGUCAGUGAUGCCUGGGAGGAGCAAGAUCAGAUGGCUCUCCUGUCUUCUGCUUCUGGGCUCUCAGCUUUUGUGAAACCUUCCACCUCUGCUCCGCUGCAGCCAUUAAGUGGGCCUCCUCAUCACCUACCCUUUCUCUCUCUCUUGUAGAAAGGACUUGGAUCCCUUUCUAGUUGACUAUCAACAGCUGGAGGACAAGUUUUGUGGGCAAGAUGUCUUCACCACAGAAAAACUGUGAAGCUCCAGGAGCUGCCUCUGUGUAAGCUGUAUGCUGACAGAUGAAGCCUCCCCAAGGAAGAAGAGCUGGACUUCUAGCACACAGCUUCCAGAGAACCUUUGGUCUGUCUAUCCCCACUCAAGUGCUGCCCCCUGCCAAGAGAUGAGGGCCCCUAGCUCAAACACAAGGAAAUCCAGGUCUAAAGAAGAAGCCAGAGAAGGAGCAGGGCAGUGGAAGACAGAGAGGUGAGGAAAGGCCAGCACCUGACAUCAUGACAUUGUGCUUCUAAGGUUUGGAAUUCUAGUCCCAGGGUACUUCAUCCCACUGAAUCUGUAUUGCACUGUGACCUGCUUUGACUAGGAAGAAAUGAUGCAGAUCUAGUCCUUAUCUGUGUCUACAGAAAUCCUGGCAUCUUUUAUUUUGUGUCUGAGAAGGCCAUUACCAUCGAAGAAGUUCUGCUACCUUCGGAUCAUUAUGCAAGGAGAAGCCAACGCCAGCCACGCAGAGUUCGUGUGGACAAAGACGGUGGCCCUCAGCCAGCAGAGCUGGGUAGUCACAGCUGUCAGCUAGCACUAAACUCCAGCCACGGGAGUGGGGUCAUCUUAAAAGUGGAUCCUAUUGCCUCACUCAAGCCUCCUCUGGGGAUGCCACAUGGAACCCGAUAAAAUGUGUGCUGGAUUGCUGGUGUGUCAAAACAAACAGAUACAAAAUAGGAGACUCACAUUUAUUCUCUAAUAUAGAGGCCGGAUGUCUGAAACCGAGGUCUUAUGGGUCAGUGCCAGCAUCCCUUCGAAGGCUCUAGCAGGACAAUGACCUUGUAGCUUCCAAUUCCUCACAGCCCCAUCUACUCCCUUGGCUUCGGGGAGCAAGCUCCAAUCUUUGUCUCCAUUUUUUACACGGCUCUUUUCCCUCUAGCUGUGGCCCAAACUUCUUCCUACAAGGAUGCUGGUCAUUGGACCAGGGCCCACCAUAAUGACUUCAUCAGAACAUUAUUACAUCUACAAAGACCUUAUUUCCAAAUAAAGUCACACUUACCAAUCCCGAG